GAACGCUGGCGGCGUGCCUAAUACAUGCAAGUCGAGCGGACCAGAUCGGAGCUUGCUCUGAUUUGGUCAGCGGCGGACGGGUGAGUAACACGUGGGCAACCUGCCCGCAAGACCGGGAUAACUCCGGGAAACCGGACCUAAUACCGGAUGACACCGAAGACCGCAUGGUCUUUGGUUGAAAGGCGGCCUUUGGGCUGUCACUUGCGGAUGGGCCCGCGGCGCAUUAGCUAGUUGGUGAGGUAACGGCUCACCAAGGCGACGAUGCGUAGCCGGCCUGAGAGGGUGACCGGACACACUGGGACUGAUACACGGCCCAGACUCCUACGGGAGGCAGCAGUAGGGAAUCUUCCGCAAUGGGCGAAAGCCUGACGGAGCGACGCCGCGUGAGCGAAGAAGGCCUUCGGGUCGUAAAGCUCUGUUGUGAGGGACGAAGGAGCGCCGUUCGAAGAGGGCGGCGCGGUGACAGUACCUCACGAGGAAGCCCCGGCUAACUACGUGACAACAGCCGCGGUAAUACGUAGGGGGCGAGCGUUGUCCGGAAUUAU
rnacentral:rRNA from 1 species